GCCUGGGUGGCUCAGUCGUUUGAGCGUCAGACUUUGGCUCUCGCGAUUCGUGAGUUCAAGCCCCACAUCGGGCU
rnacentral:tRNA from 1 species